rnacentral:rRNA from 1 species
UACGGAGGGCGCAAGCGUUGUUCGGAAUUACUGGGCGUAAAGCGCGUGUAGGCGGCCAGGUAAGUCGGAUGUGAAAGCCCGGGGCCCAACCCCGGAACUGCACACGAUACUGCCUGGCUGGAGUCCCGGAGAGGAUGGCGGAAUUUCCGGUGUAGAGGUGAAAUUCGUAGAUAUCGGAAGGAACACCAGUGGCGAAGGCGGGCAUCCGGACGGUGAGUGACGCUGAGACGCGGAAGCGUGGGGAGCAAACAGG